rnacentral:rRNA from 1 species
UACAGAGGUCCCGAGCGUUGUUCGGAUUCAUUGGGCGUAAAGGGUGCGUAGGCGGUCUGCUAAGUUUGAUGUGAAAUCCCGGGGCUCAACCCUGGAAUUGCAUUGAAUACUGGUGGACUAGAGUACUGGAGAGGAAACUGGAAUUUACGGUGUAGCAGUGAAAUGCGUAGAUAUCUGGAGGAACACCGGUGGCGAAGGCGGCAUCCUGGACCGGCAUUGACGCUGAGGCGCGAAAGCCAGGGGAGCAAACGGG